AACGUAGGUGGCGAGCGUUAUCCGGAUUUACUGGGCGUAAAGCGUGUGCAGGCGGGGUGGUAAGUGGUGUAUGAAAUCUCCCAGCUUAACUGGGAGGGGUUAUGCCAGACUGCCAUUCUAGAGUGCGAGAGAGGAACGUGGAAUUCCGGGUGUAGUGGUGAAAUGCGUAGAGAUCCGGAGGAACCCCAGAGGCGAAGGCGGCGUUCUGGCUCGCAACUGACGCUCAGACACGACAGCAUGGGGAGCGAACGGG
rnacentral:rRNA from 1 species